CUUUUGCCUUGCUGUCCUCUGGGCAGAGUCUGUCAACCUUAAUCACAGCCCAGGGCACCUGUCACCCAGAGUCAUCUUACUAGGCUGGCCUCUGCUUCCUGAAGGACAUACUCCUGAUUUGCUCCACAAAAACCUGGCUUGCUUUAGGGAAUCACAUGGGCUGGCUACCUGAGAAGCUUCCAGGGAGGACCGGACUGCCACUUUAGAGAGGAAGUGCAAGUGGGGAAGCCACUCUUGCUUCAUGGCUCCUGGGCACGAAGCUUUCGCCAUCAAGAGUGAGCUCCCCAUCUCCGACUGAGAAAAGACAGCCAGCUGCCUUCCCAAGAAGCACUGCAGACACUACAGACAUGUGCAUAGUGGGGAGACAUCUAUAUUUGGAAGCACACAAGAGUUGGGCGGGUGGUUCCCUGGCCUUAUCAGGUGCCCUCAGUACAGCAUGGCACCAGGGCAGACGGGGCUUCCAAUCUCCACCCUGCCGGACUUGGCUCUGUCCCCAGAAGAGGGCCUUGCCCUCACAUACCUCUGGGCUUAGCAUCAGCCUGCCAGGGGUUAAAGGAAGACACCGAGGUGCAGCUGGAAGACACUCCACACCGCGUGAUCUGUGUGUUAGGAGCACAUCAGGCAGCCCUGUCAGAACUCAUUCCCCUUCAUAUGCUAAUCUCAUUGCUCUCUGGUGGCAAAAUGGCCUUGGCUUAGAGAAGUCAAAGCAUUGAGUUCUUGGCUCUCCAUUUUCUAUUGAGGGAUGGGGAGGGGACCUUGGCUUGCUGUGGGUAAUGCGCUUCUCUAUCACUAGAUGUGACCUUGAGCAAGUUCCUCAAGAGUUACACUUUUCUUGUUCUAUGAAAUGAAGCCCCACGAUGUACAUCAAGUACACAACAGAAACGUCCAUGACAAGGUAACUAACUGGUUCUGCUGUGUUUCCCUUUACUCUCUGUUGUCAUCUUAGUUGACUAAUUGGUUUUAAAUAGGACCCUAUUUAAUUAAUCUGACUGAGAAUGGUCCCC
rnacentral:lncRNA from 1 species